rnacentral:rRNA from 1 species
AUUGAACGCUGGCGGCAUGCUUUACACAUGCAAGUCGAACGGCAGCACGGGAGCAAUCCUGGUGGCGAGUGGCGAACGGGUGAGUAAUAUAUCGGAACGUGCCCAGUAGUGGGGGAUAGCCCGGCGAAAGCCGGAUUAAUACCGCAUACGACCUGAGGGUGAAAGCGGGGGAUCGCAAGACCUCGCGCUAUUGGAGCGGCCGAUAUCAGAUUAGCUAGUUGGUGGGGUAAAGGCCUACCAAGGCGACGAUCUGUAGCUGGUCUGAGAGGGACGACCAGCCACACUGGGACUGAGACACGGCCCAGACUCCUACGGGAGGCAGCAGUGGGGAAUUUUGGACAAUGGGCGCAAGCCUGAUCCAGCCAUGCCGCGUGCGGGAAGAAGGCCUUCGGGUUGUAAACCGCUUUUGUCAGGGAAGAAACGGCUCUUGCUAAUAUCGAGAGCUAAUGACGGUACCUGAAGAAUAAGCACCGGCUAACUACGUGCCAGCAGCCGCCGUAACAC